rfam:Rattus norvegicus chromosome 7, whole genome shotgun sequence.
AUGGCUCAGUGUUUAAGAGCACUGGCUAUUCUUCCAGAGGUCCUGAGUUCAAAUCUCAGU